UUCAUAGAGAAGGUGGUUUGAGAAAAUAAUGUCGCCGGUAUUCCUCCUCCAACAAUAUCGCCUGAGACAGAAUUUUCCCAGGUUCCUGGUAUUGGUCCUCAAAGACCAAAGCGUUCCGUGCCAACCAAAUCUGCCAUAGAAGCUUUUAGGUUAGGGUCGCGGAGAAUAGUGCUAGCUACUGGGAGCUGUUCCAAAUUUGCAGAAGACAACGGCAUGCAUCGGUGUCUUCGGCGCCGAUUGACAGCGGGGACAAAGGCUGCUAACUUGUGGUUUUCUACAUUUCUGAGUCUGCAUACCGGGAAUGGAGUGAAUUCACUGGAGGGUGAAAGAAUUGAAAUUUGUUGAAUUUGCUGAGCUGUGUCUAGUGGGAAGGCUUCCAUAAGAAGUUGGUGAUUCCAUUCUCCCUCGGCUGUGAUUAGUUGUCUAACCCAGGUAAGCGAUUCAUCUCUGCAUUCAUUAACUGCAA